AUGCCAGCGCGGACCAACCAUAAGUCCCGAUCCCCACCCUCCCACCCCCGCCCCCUCAUUUCGAGUGAUCCGCGGCGCCGUCAACAAAGACGACAGCUCAUGGCGACGGCGGAGGAGGGCGGCAAUGGACUGGAGUUCCUAUCAGAUCCGGUGGACAGGUUCCCCUUGCCGGAUCUUGCAUCCAGCGAUUUGACGCCCACCGGUGAGCCAGAUACUGGUCUCACCCAAUCAGCUGCUGAAUCGAGUAUGGGAUAUGUUGGCGACUUGCCGCUUACAAUCCAAUUGCCCAUGAACAACGGCUGCGAAGAACUGAGCUUGUCGGCGGCCGAUUCACAGCAAUCAACAGGAAAGGAUGACCCUCAAGCCCCCGGGUGGACAAAAAGGGAAAAGAAGGCAACCGUUAACAGUUAG
rnacentral:rRNA from 1 species